GAUACAAGAGAGGAUGCAAAGGCAUAAAGACUGAAUGGGAUACUCCCAGAAGGGAGGCAGGCUUAAAAUAUUAGCUAUUUUUAUGCAACAAAUCACAGUGUGUGGGGGAAAAACAUUAUUCUCAAAUGCAGGUAUAAUCACUUAAAAUGUUCUUCCUGGCCUGUAGGUAUUUCCACACACCAAUUUUUCAUCUGAUACAAAAGGAAUUUAAAUGGCCAGGAUUCUAGUUAGCAACAGUUCACACAGUCCUGCCCUUCGAGGCCAACUUCAAAGAUGGAUGAGAGAGGCUCCAGACCGUGGAGUCACAUGUGGUCAUGUCUCUGGCACACAGGUGGGACCAGCAGCAGUAAAAGGAGCACUGAUCAUCACAAUCCCAAGUACUCUCACUUACACAUUCCUGCUUCUCCAAAACAACACAGGAUGUCAGGGAAGCCCACGUGCAUCAGGGAGAAGGAAGCCACGCUGGCAGCAUCCACAGGCAAUGGCCAGGACAGAGCCAGGAGCGGCAUCCACCUUAAGUGAAGUAAACAGUGUCCAAACACCAUGGCAACAAGAGCAAAUUCCUACCUACCUGCUCUUCUGCAUGUCCUCUCAAGCUUGCUGCAGCAUUACCCUGCUAGCGGGCAGCAUGAGCAUUGUUCUGUGAGGAGGAACAGCGUGCCUCUGCAAAUGCUAUGGAACUUAUUUUGCCUUCAGGCAACAAAAAAUCUGUACAGAUACAUACAUACUUUGUAUGACUGUGUAUUUUCUAUCUCUUACUAUAAAGAACAUCAGUCUUUAUGUGCACAGUCCUUAAAACAUAUAACCAACCUG
rnacentral:lncRNA from 1 species